GGAGACAGGGACAGACAGCCCGAAAGGAGCCGAGGGAGGUGCAAAGAACGCCGGGGCGAACGAGGAGGAAACGUUAGGAAUGGGAAGGGUUUUGGUGCACAUCAAAGAGCAGGAAUUCACGCGAAGAAGGGGCGUGAUGGCCCAGAAGAAUCACCUGGGCCGUCCGGGGCUUCCCCGCAGUGCCCUCCUCCGCCACCAACAGCAGCUGGGCCCGGGCGGGAGAAGCCUUGGGAAGGGGCGCUGGUACCCGCUCGCUUUCUCUUGGGAAAGCAACUUAAGCCAGAGCCCGGGAAGGCAGCGGCCGAGCAGAUGGGGCCGGAAACCACAGCUCCGCCCAGCCCACCUGGGAGUGUGGGGCGCCAGCUGGGGGGAGGUGGGGAACAGGUAGUCGGCCCUCCCGAGCCAGGCUGGGCAUUAUGGUCGCGACCGGCGAAACGGUGCAGACCGACCGAGACGUGUGGGUCCCCAGGGGCUGAAGAGCGCAGCCUCAGGCGGCU
ensembl:lncRNA novel transcript, antisense to KDM6B